GCGCGCGCCGACGCAUCCUUCUCUCACGCGUCCAAUCAGGAAUGUGUGGUGGGAGGGCCACGGGUUAAUUACUAGAUACCUUUAGUCCAGGUUGACCCGGGAGUUUGAAGUUUUCGGUGGAGCAGGUGAAUGAUAUUGACUCGUCUGCGGGUCUGGGCUGGUUAAUCAGUGGGAGGAGGUGCCCCUCUAAAUGGGAACGGUCAUUUUAAAUAGUACCGGGCGGACCGCUGAUCAGCGCUCCCACGUGCGGAAAUCUAGUGCUAUUCUGACCCUAGGGGCUUAGAGGGUCUACCCUGGGAAGAGCGCCACCACUGACCAGGCCCCAGAAUUAGAGCCGACUAGAAACCGAGCUCAACUGUGAAUUGAUUAGGGUGGAGGAAAGGGAGAUUGGGGCAGGCUGUUUACUUGCCUCUGUAGUCAACGGUCACCAUCCGCCAGGGUUAGGUGUGGGAAUAGGCUUUUUCUUUCUGUUGCUGUUUCAGUCCUUAGAGUCAGAAAGUUGCAAAACUUACUCAAGAAAUCAGAGUUUUGGAUCAGAAAAACUAAUAUCCAGGGGAAUAAAUAUAAGGACAGGGUUGCCUGUUUUAAUCUGCCGAUGAAAAGAAUGAAGAAGGUGAUUUUGCUUUCUAGUAUGUCCUUCAGGCAAAGGGUAGUAAGACAUUAAAAGGAGCCAAGGUACAAGAAUGGUACAAAACAGUUCAAAGGGAACUUACAAUAUCCAGAAGGUCCACAGAGAAAAAUCCCAGAGAAGCUAAUUUGUACUACCCUAAUAUAAACAAGCUUCAGCAUGAAAGUAUAAUGGACCAUGUUAAUGCUUUGAAUUAAUGAGCACAGCAGACUGGGACAAAUUUGAGGUCAGAGUUCUUUAUUUUUUUGUACCACAAACCGUGUUAGCAGUCUGAUUAAACCAUGGACUCUUCUCAGGAUAGUGUUUUAAACGUAUACAAUAAAAUGCAUAGCAUUGCAAAGGAAAAAACUUUGAAAUAGAGUCUCAAAAUACUAAAAACAAAAUUUUAAUAUAGGAAUAUAUGAGCUUUAUUAACACAGUAAAAUCUAGUGGUGGGUCUAAUAAAGACGAAAUUUUUGAAAUAAUGAUGAAUGUAAAAUUUCCAGAGUUUGCAACAGUUGUAAUGUGAUAUAGAGAUCUGUGAUUCCUAUUGGAGAUACAGACAUAGGUGUAGCUCUUUGUGGCUUUACAUUCAUAAUUGAAGGAAAUGCUAAUUUUCCGUUAGAGAUCAGUAAAAAUAAAGAUGUAAUUUUUUUUUCCCAUUAAAGUUCACACACACCCUGAAUUCUAUCCAUGGACUUAAUGUUAAAAAAUCUUGGGUGGAAUCAGGUAGACCUAUUCCUGUUGGUAAGCUCUGAAGGGAUUGUGAAAUUUUAACACAGAAACAUAAUUGAUACUCAUAAUAACAGUGAUUUAUUAAGAAGACGUUUACCACCAGUAUACUCUUGUAAAGAAGGCAUGGAAAUGUGUAAUAGAUUUAAGAAAUAAAUUUACCCCAUUUGUUGAUUUCUUGGAUUUUUUUUUUUUUUUUUUUUGGAUACCUAUAAAGGUAGUACCCUAUGGAAAAUUUACCUAUCCAGAAUGAUUCAUUUCGCAAGCAUUCUGGAUAACUUAGGUUUUACUGUAUCACUCUUAUUACAUGUCUUUACAAAUAAGAUGUAGAAGAAUUGCAGUGAAAAUAAUAACUAAAGAUGAAAGAAAUAAAAAUACUGUAUAUUUAAAAUUCUUGAUAACAAGUGUUAAUAAUUAUUAUUUGAAGUACUAUGUGCUGGGCCCUUUAAUUCUUUAUAUCAUCAGAUCCCCAUUAUACAGAUGAAACAUUCAAGGUCAUACAGUUACUAAGUAGUACAGCCAGGAUUUUACCCUAGGCAGUCUGACCUCAACGAUCUCAUUCUUUUUAAAUUGAAAUGUAGUUGAAAAGCUCUCACUCUUAACUACUAAGGUGUUUUCACUUGUAACUACUAAGGUGUUUGAUUAUUUUUUUACCCUUUGACUAUUAGCCAACAUUAAUUUGCCCACUAGUGUAACAAAUAAAUAUUCGCUGCCUCAAAAUAUUUCCACCCACUGUCUGAAAGGAAUUUUCUAAAUUCUUCCUUUGCUGUGGUAUUGUUUAUAUCCAAUGCCACCUUUAAAAUAAGUGGGCUACCAGUUGGGGCUGGAAAAUGGUUUCUUUUACAGAAAUUGUUGUUGUAAUAGAGUUUUGCUUAGAAGAUGAAGAAAUCCACUCAUACCUUUCUCUACCCUACAAACAUACUUUCAUAAAUGAAAUUAAAUCUUUGUUUUGUAAUGGUGCUGCUAUAUUUUUAUAUUUACCAUUAUCAGGAUUAUGGAGGAAAUGACUGUGUUUAAAUAAAUCCUGAUACAUGAAGUUCUAGAUUAUUCAUGUUUAAUGAAGGGAAGUGAUUAUGUAAUUCCAAAUUCCUUUUUUUGGCACUGAAGUGAAUUUAUUGGUUGAUUACGCUUUCUGCUUUGUUUGUAUUUACACUAGCAAACUUACAUUUCUACUCAGUUUUGCUAAGGUUAAAAUUAAAAGGACCAUGGUCUAGAAGUAUUUUGAUGUUUUAGGAGGCAGUUUAGGGUUAGCUCAAACUUUAAAACGCUAUUCACGUAUCUAGUAUUAUAAGGAAUGCAUUUUAGUUGCAAAUAAAGUUAAAGCUGACUUUCAUUCAUUUUACCUAUUUGAAUUAUAUGAUAGAAAUGUCUCCAUCUGAAAAAAGAAAGGAAAAUAAUCUUUUUUUAUAUUGCAGUGUGCAAUGUGCUAAAAAAAAUUAUGGUUUUAUAUACUGCAGCAACAUUUUACAUUCAGAAAUUAAUAAAGGUACAAAUUAGGAAAUGGUACUUUAUUUCAUGCUAAGAGCAUCAUUUUGACCUUAAAUUAAGAUGGGUUUUGGCACAUAAUGAAUCUUGCAAAAAUGUUGAAGCUAAAAAUAAAUUUGAGCAUUUUCCACAGAAAAAUUGUAUGCAUGAAUGUUCAGAGUAGUAGUAUUCAUAAUAGUCAAAAGUGGAAACAACCCAAAUGUCCAUCAGGUGAUAAUGGAUAAAUAAAAUGUGGUGUAUCCAUAUGAUGGAAUAGUACUAGUUAAUAAGCAAAACCAAAAUACUGAUCCUGCUACAACAUGUAUCUAGAUGAAAAAAGCCAGGCACUUAAAGGCCAUGUAUAAUUCCAUUCAUAUGAAAUGACUAGUAGAUUACUUGGUUGUCAGAAAUUAGGAGGAGGGGGAAGGGGAAUGACUGCUAAUGAGUAUGGGUGUUUUUGGGGGGGAGGGUGAUAAAACGUUCUAAAGUGAGAUAAUGGUGAUGGUUACACAACUCUGUGAAUAUACUAAAACCCACUGAACUAUACACUUUAAAAGAGUGAAUUUUAUGGUAUGUGAAUUACCUUAAUGUAGUUUUUUUAAAAUAAUGAAUUAGAACCAAAAUGUGAAAUCAGCCUGAAAGCUUAUUACCAAAUAUUUUCAAUAUCUCAUAGUACUUUUCAGGUCUCUGAUGAUAAAUGAGAUAUGGCAUCCUCAUGAGAUACAGCAUCUUUGUAAAAUGUAAAAUAUUUACAGCCAGCAGGAGAUUUUUCCUUCAGUACAAACAAUGUAAUUUAGAUUCAGUUUUAAUAUAAUAACAAGCAUUUGCUGUCAAUUAGUCUUAAAUUUGGAGGCAUUUUCAUCAAUAUUACUUGCUUUAUGAAACAUAGUAAUUAAAAUUAAUUUUAAAUAGCAUUGUAUUUUAUUGAAAAUUAAAGUUCAUAAUUAUGACCAGAAAUAGAAUACAUCUGAUUUUGAUAUACUGUAAAUAUAGAAACAUUUCUUUACAAUUUCAAAUAAAAUCAGGUAGUUUGAAAAUUGGGGGUAGAUUAUCUAGAUAAAGAAUUUGACAAAACUAAAACAACUCAGUAAUGAGUUUGAUGUUCUUUAUUCAAGGGAAAACAAUCUAUGGAUGUUUCUACAGUGUCUCAUAAGCACUGCAACACUCUUUCCCUUCCUGAGGGAUUUUGGUCAAGAGUGAGUUUUAUACAGUGUUAGAAGCUGUAUUGCCUUAACGGCAUGACUGCCCAGGAGGUUGGGGAUUUCCUUAUAAGGCCAGCAAGUCCUGUUUUCUAGGGUCAGGUGAGCUAGCUAAGCUGAACUGCAGGAUCGUGAUUGCUAUAUGUUAGGUUUCUUUGACAAGUGUUUCAUAUAAGUGCAGGCUGACUUAGAUUUAGGUUUGUGGCUUGGGCUGGGCCACUGGAGUGGCUUCCAAUUUUUGGGUUCUGAUAUACAAAUUAACUUUAAAAGUACUUAAGUAAAAAUAAGGAAUUCAAAUUAAAAUUACUUCCCAACAAUAAUUAUAAUCUUUGUUUCAAUAAUAUUCUAAAAAAUCUAAAGUAAACAGAGAUUGAGACCAGAAAUGACCGUUGUUGUACCCAUAUUGAAUUUGAUUGUUUUAAAUAUAUGUGAGAAUUCUGUAGUAAGAUAGUGCUGAUAAAUUUUAAAUUCUGCUUUUAAAGAAUUUAAAUUAGGAUUAAUUAUCCAAAUGUUGAACAUAGUGGUUUUAAAGGGUCAGAUCUAUAUAGUGUCUGAGUGGCUUAAUGGAAACAUUUAUGUGAGGCUUUUAGUUUUUAAUACAUACUAUCUAGUACUUGUUGAUUUUUUCAUUGCAAGGAAGCAGUGAUUUAACAUAUGGCACAAUAAGAAACAAUGAAACUUACUAAGAAACACUCCCCUACAUCUAAAAAAAUCUUGAAGAAUUUGGCUUGUUUGGUGUCGAAGAAGUGUUCAACUGUUGCAGAGAUCCCAUCAUUAAAGCAUAGUAAAUCUCAAAGUUAAUGACUAAGUGAUGUGAAUGGACUUUAUCAUAUAUACCUAAUAAGAACGAUAUGAUACAGAUUCCCCAUCUUACCAAAAGACCUAUACAAAAAAGAACCCUGGGUGCUACAAUGCUUGAAAUUCAAUUCUCCAACAAUUUAAACAAAAAGAUUAAGAUAUGAUUAGAUAUUCACAGACUUGUGUGAAUUUAGCUUUUCCUUGUUUUCUUUCUUUCUAUUCUGCACUGAUGGAGAGAAGAGGAUGAUUACUCUGGACCACUUUAAGGGUAGGGCUAAAUGCCUGCCCCUGGCUUGGAUAGGGCUAUAAUUCGGGACAACAAGCAAGAACUCCCAAGUUUUUAGCUUGGUACAGUGUUACACAGGCAAGGACUAUACUUCCGAGCCACCACUGGAGCUGCAGCGACGUGACUACAUUUUGGUCCAUGGACUGUAAGUGGAAAUGAUGACUAAAACUUCUGUGACAUGCCCUUAAAAAGAAGAGGUAUGCUGUUUUUCCAUUUCCCAUUCCCAGAUGUAUCAGGAGCUGGAACAGCCAUCUUGGGCCAUGAAACAGAAGCCACAUAUUGAGUGCAGCAGAUUAACCAGCCAGAGGGAGCCUGGGCCCUGAACACCUGAGGCUGCGCUGUCAGUCUUGAACUGAUUAUUCCUGGACUGUUUCAGAAGAGAAAAAAAUAAACUUCCAUUUUGUUUAAGUCAUUAUUAUUUUGCCCUUAAAGCAACCAAACCUAUAUCCCAAGUAAUAUUUAUUUUCCAUUAUUUCCUCCAUAUAAUUAUAUACAAAUACACAUGUGUGUAUAUAUUUACAAAUAAAAAUAUUUUCAGUGUAAACAUGCACACACAAAUAUGCAAACAUUUAUGUGUGUUGAUGAUGAUGUUUUAUAGACUGGGAUCAUAUUAUACACACUUUUCUUUAUCUUGUUUUUUCUCAUUAGCAUAGUAUCUAGUGGAAAUCACAAUUCAACUCAUAUUGUUUUAUUUUAUUCCUUUUGAUAGGAUGCAUAAACUGUAAUCCACUCAGCCAUUUUCCUAUUAAUGAGCUUAUACUUUGUUACUUGUUUUUUGCUACUAUGGAUGAUGCUGCAAUGAAUACUCUUAUAGAUAGAUCCUUAUGUAUUUAUUUCUGUAAGACAGAUUCCCAAGAAUGAUACAGCUAAGACAAAUCAUAUCUGUAGUUUAAAAAAUUUUAACACAGGUUGCCAGACUGUUUUGCAAAUAGGUUGAAAAAGUUCACAUUUAAACCAGCAAUGUUUAAUACCCUUUUACUUGGAUCCCUACCAGCAGUAGGUGUUAUUGGUUAUUUAACAUUUUGCCCAAUCUGAAAAGAUGUUUCACUUCACUUAGAAUAGGAGAAAUGCACAAUAAAACUAUACUAAGAUUAAAAAUUUUCACUUAGUCCCAAAUCCAAAAGUUUUGAUAACGUACUCUAAUGACAUGUUGUGGGGGGCACUCUUACUUGUUUAUAUAACACUUACAGAGGCAAAUUUGGCAUUAUCUGUCCAAAUCACACAUCACACAUCCCUCUUGACCUAGCAAUCUUCUUUCUGAGAAAUCUUGUACGUGUGAGACAAAAUUAUACACAGUAUUAUUCAUUACCACAUUGUUUUUAAAAGCAAAAGACUGAAAACAAUGCAAAUGUCCAUCAUAAGAGCUCGUAAAAUAAUUUCUGGCAUUUUUGUAGUGGAAUACUAUGAAGCUGUUGAAGGAUAAGGACUCUCAUUACAGAGCUACUUACAGAACUCUAAGUUGAGUUGUGGAACAUAGUGCAUAUUAUGAUAACCUUUGCUUUAAAAAAAAGGAGAAUGAAAUAAACUUGUGUUUAUAUAGAAAAGCUCUGGGAAGAUACAUGAGAAACUAAUAAGAAUAGUUGUGAGAUGGGUGGCAUUGGCAUGGGAAGUGGGUGGAAGGGAGAUAUGUGGGGGACACUAACUCAAAACAUAAAUACCUAUCUAUCUAUCUAGAUGCACACCCACACAUACCGUCUGAAUGAAUGACUCCUCAAAAAGGGAAGAAAAUGAAAAACAGUUCCAGUGGAGUGAAUUCCCCAGUUUCCUUUAUGUGACUUUUGACAAGUCAGUUUACUUAUUUGAUCCUUUCUUCAAUUGUAAAACCGGGAUAAGAUCUGCUUCACAAUGCUCUGGUGAGUACUAAAUUAGAUGUGUGCUCAGCUCAGUGUCUGUCACACAAUAGGCGCUUAAACAUGAGUUGAAUAAAAAAAAUGGUGUGCCAAUCUGUUAGGUAGGCCUAAUUGGCAGUUCAUUAUUUUAAUUUGCAUUUGCCUGAUUUCUUCUGAUUUUGAGCAUCUUUUCACAUUUGGAUUUACACUUUGCUGAAUUCAUAUUCCCAGCCCACCCACUUUUCUGUUGAAUUGCUUGUUCCCUUGACAUGAAUUUCUAAGAGCUCUUUUAAUAUUGUAGAUGUUAAACCUCAUUGUAAAUAUUUUAAAAAAUUUAUUGUAUAUCUAUUAACUUUAACUACGUUAAAGUUUUUGCAUACAAGUUUUAUUUCUUAUACUGACAAAUGCCUACCUUUUUUGAGCAGAAUGUGUAUUCUGCUGUUCUUGGGUGAAGUAUUCUGUAAAUGUCAAUUAGAUCCAGUUGAUUGACGGUACUACAGAGUUUAACUAUAUCCUCACUGAUUUUCUGUCUGCUAGAUCUAUCAAUUACUGAAAGAGGGCUGAUUAAGCCUCCAGCUAAAAUAGUGGAUUUGCCUGUUUCUCCUUGCAGUUCUAUCCAUUUUUGUCUUUGCUGCCUUAAUGGUCUGUUGUUAGACCUACACACAUUAAAGGUUGUUACAUCUUUUCGGCGAAUUGACCUCUUUGUCGUUAUGUAAUGCCCCUUUCUAUCCCUGAUAAUUUUCCUUGUUCUGAAGUCUGUUUUGCCUGAAUAUAGCAACUGUAGUUUUCUUUUGAUUAGUAUUAGCAUAAUAAAAUCUCUGUCCAUUCUUUUACUUUUAACCUAUCUGUGUUUUUACAGUGGUUUUCUUAUGUAUGGUUCCUGAGGAAAUAGAGAUCAAGGGCUGUUGGCUUCCACUCUCCAAAUUAACCCUGGCUAAGUACAGAAACAGGAAGCAAGGGCUGGAGAAGUAAAAUCAAAAACUGUAAGGAAACCCUUGUUAGGGUCAGAGUAAGUUGUUCAGUAUUGUUCCUGCUGCUCCCCCACCAAACGGCCUACUUUGGGACAAUCAGUGCCAGACAACUGAUGACUACAGAAAUCAUCAGCAAUAGAUCAGGCUUCCUAGUGUAGGAUAAUAUAAAGGGUCUGUUAAAGUGAGUUGCUGAUUAAAAAAAAAUGGUGCGGGCUGACCAGAUACUCUAGAGCAGUGGACCUUCACUUCACCACUCCUUCCCCAAACCUCCAGGAUUUCGGUGGAUUACAACAGACUUCUGCUGCUGGAUUAUGAGUUUCAAGGCAAAUUCUUGCUAGAUGAGUUGUCCAGUGAAACAGGAGCCAACAGAGAGCACUAAACUCUUCUGUGGUGCCUGGAGUCCUCUGCUCUCUGUUCCUUAAAUUUGUGGGAAGGGAACUAGGGUCUGCCCUUUUGCUCAUCCUCCACAUCCAUUACCAGAAAGAGCGGUAGAGAGUAUGAGCUUGUGGACCAAAAUACCUAGACAGCUGAGGAGUAUAAUCACUAUAUAACACAACAAAGUAAAACAACAUAUGCCAACUGAAGCAGAAUUAUAGGAGCAGAUAUUUAAUUAAAAAAAAACAAGUUAAUAUUUUAAAAAUUCAAUUAUUCAUUAAACAAAUUUUUACUGAGCACCUACCAAGUGCCAGGCACUAAGGAUUCAUCAGUGAACAAGACAGAUAAAAAUCUUUGUGAACUUUUCUAGUCAUGGGAAAUGGCAUGGGGAACAGAGACAAAAACAUACAAACAACUAAAUAUCUAACCAAAUAAUUUUAAAAUUUCUAGGGUCUUUCCUUUGUUGUUCCAGUGCUUUCAUAUCUGGGAAAAAAUCUUCAUCCAGAGAUUUUAGCUUUACAAUUAAAGUAUUUUAAAUUAUAAAAUAAUAUCGUACAUGGUAAGAAAUUCAAAUAAAAUGAAAGCAGAAAGUAAAAGACCUCAUUAACUCUUCCCCAUACUCCUUUCCACAGAAUUAGUCAUUUUUCUGUGUCCCCUUCCAGAAAUUUCCUAUGCACAAUCAAAUGUGUGUAUGUGUAUAGUUUUAAAAAUUUAUAAUAGGAUACUAUACAUAUUUUCCACAACUUGCUUUUUUAACAUAUAUGGAUCUAUUCCAGAGACAGAGGUUUUAAAGGACAGUAGAAAAUUCAUUUAAAAGGCCAAAUUAUAGAGAUAAUACAAAGA